GAGUAAUGUCUGGGAAACUGCCUGAUGGAGGGGGAUAACUACUGGAAACGGUAGCUAAUACCGCAUAACGUCGCAAGACCAAAGAGGGGGACCUUCGGGCCUCUUGCCAUCAGAUGUGCCCAGAUGGGAUUAGCUAGUAGGUGGGGUAACGGCUCACCUAGGCGACGAUCCCUAGCUGGUCUGAGAGGAUGACCAGCCACACUGGAACUGAGACACGGUCCAGACUCCUACGGGAGGCAGCAGUGGGGAAUAUUGCACAAUGGGCGCAAGCCUGAUGCAGCCAUGCCGCGUGUAUGAAGAAGGCCUUCGGGUUGUAAAGUACUUUCAGCGAGGAGGAAGGUGUUGAGGUUAAUAACCGCAGCAAUUGACGUUACCCGCAGAAGAAGCACCGGCUAACUCCGUGCCAGCAGCCGCGGUAAUACGGAGGGUGCAAGCGUUAAUCGGAAUUACUGGGCGUAAAGCGCACGCAGGCGGUCUGUCAAGUCGGAUGUGAAAUCCCCGGGCUCAACCUGGGAACUGCAUUCGAAACUGGCAGGCUAGAGUCUUGUAGAGGGGGGUAGAAUUCCAGGUGUAGCGGUGAAAUGCGUAGAGAUCUGGAGGAAUACCGGU
rnacentral:rRNA from 1 species